UCAAUAAAUCUGGUACUUCUAUUGUUUCAGUAUUUUCUGGUAUUUGAAGUGUAAAAAACGGCAAUCAUAUGACCGGUACUAUUAUCGGGUCUAUUACUUCCAUCGAUGAAAGUAUUUUAAAUCAGUUGAUUUCAAAUCUUGUACUUCGAUUUUUUUUAACA